rnacentral:rRNA from 1 species
UACGUAGGGUGCGAGCGUUGUCCGGAAUUACUGGGCGUAAAGAGCUCGUAGGUGGUUUGUCGCGUUGUUCGUGAAAACUCACAACUCAAUUGUGGGCGUGCGGGCGAUACGGGCAGACUGGAGUACUGCAGGGGAGACUGGAAUUCCUGGUGUAGCGGUGGAAUGCGCAGAUAUCAGGAGGAACACCGAUGGCGAAGGCAGGUCUCUGGGCCGAUACUGACGCUGAGGAGCGAAAGCGUGGGGAGCGAACAGG